GACUUACAUUUUUGGUAUUUAUUUUAUAUAUUGAAAUGCCAUUUAACAAAGAAAAAUGAACCAAAAAAAUGAUUCAUAUGAUUCAAAUGAUGGUGUCAUAGGUUCACCAUCACUGAUCUAUAUCUAUAUCUAUAUCUAGAUCUAGAUCUCUGUUAUAUAUGGCCCAUCAUUUGAAAAAAUGACAGCAACCUUGACAUUCAUAAAGUAAUGGAUUUCAUGAGUAUGUGCUCAAGAUAUGCGCACACUGUAUUUUUUUAUACUCUUACAGCUAUGAUUUGAGCUGGAUGCCACAACAAAGUACAAAGAGCAAAAAUGUGGGUCAAAAUUGAACCGUGCCGCCCCUUAAAAUGGGACGCACACUAUGGGCUUCCGUGAUUUCAUUUCCUUACUUCACCUUUUCUGGGAGAGGUGAGGCCUCGCCCUCAGCCUGGUUCUCUUUUUCUACCUGCGUCCUCCCUCGUCCCUCAGCCGCUUCCCAAAUGGGUCACGUGACGGGCUUCUACUCCGGUUGUGCUGUAAGGUGGGAAAUGCUGUGAACACGUCCAUCACGGGGGCAGUAGGUUGUCUUGGAGAUGAGAACAAUUCCUGAGGUAGGUAGGUGCCUGCUGCCCCUCUGGGCUUCUGCCCUCCCAGCAGUGGGGCUCACUGCCUUUGCCUUUAAUUAUAGUUUGAGACACCGUGUUGAAAUAUUUAAUCUCUGAGUAAUGACUGGAUUUGAGUUUCCUAAUUGGCAUCUGUGUGGUUAGCAUCGGUGCCAAAGCACGAAUCUAGAACGCACACGCCAUACGAGACGUGGACUCUACGUAAACAUUUCUCAUACCUGCCCCCUUCACUCCAGGGCAAUAAUAUUAUUUAAAAAAUGGAAGGAUAAAUAUCCUAUCCUUCAUGGUUCUGCAUAUAUUUGGAUCGCUAACCAACAACCUGUUACGGUUUACAAGUCACACCAAAAAUCCAUGUGUGAUCAGCACAGAGUGAAGUGUCAUUGUCCCUCUAAAGAAGACCUUGGCCUUGGGAACUUGCCUUGCUCAUUCUCAAUUGGUGUUUCGGGCGCCUGGGAGUAGUUCCCAGAAGAUAAAUGUCCACCCACCACUGGGUGACUUAUUUAGAACCUUGUGGAACCAGCUUGCGAGGCCUAAGAGGAUAGGUGAGGUAGAGUCGUUAUUGGCUUGAAGUCUGCCCACCACCUUGGGGGAGUGUGUUUCCUACAAGAGGAGUAUCACCGGGCAUCUUCCUCCAAUGACUGACAGCUUCCAACUGUUUGAAACAAGACGAAACUCAGCCUCGGCGACACACACGCCUGUUGGAUGUGUGCAUGAUACACGCUAUGGGCGUGGGACCGCCCAGCUCGCAUUCCCUGAAUAAUGUAUGUUUCCUUUGGCGGCCUCGAGUUACCCAGGGGUGACGGUGGAGGCAGAGGUGGAAUUACAGAGCCCGGCUGUUCUGCCCACGGAGAACGUUUCUCGGGUGAAAGGCCAAGGCAUGGCCUGGUGAGGGGCUGCUGGCAGGCGGACAGAUUGCUCUCUCAGCGGCGGAGAGGGAGGAGUGAUUCUGAUCGUCCCAUCUGGCUAGCGCGGGCAAACACGCCCCUUCUGCGUCUGACACCAGUGGCUUGAGCCUUUUUUUGACUUCGGACAGGCAACCACCAGCUGCCUGAGCAGCGUGGGGGCUCUGUGUCCUCCCGGUGGUCAUGGCAUCCACAUUCCCGCGAAAAGGAAAGCUGCUCUCUUUCCAAACGCCCAGUGCAGACUCCGAACUUUUUUUCCUCCAAAUUCAGACACAGGGGAUCCAGCCGUGUCCCAGAUCAGGGCCCUCGGUGAAUCCCCUCUCCUACUUCGUUAGGGGGCACUUUUCUCCUCACCUGACAGAAGAGGAAGCUAAAGGUUGGGUAACACACAGCCGGGAAGAGGCAGUGCCAGGAGAGGAACCCAGGUCAGCCUGACUCCAAAGGUCACGUUCAAUUCCACUUCCUCAUUUUCCACCAAAAGAAUAAAAAAAAAGGUAUAUGUUUUA